GCUUGGAACGGUCGCAAUGCAGAGAUGUCACAAGUCAUUUAACUGGAAAUGAGUAACACUCAAUGAUUCAGUUUUAUUUUUAAAAGUAACUGCAACUGCCUCGUUUGAAUUUCACCAGUCAACGGUGCGACAUAUACUGACUGUCAUUUGGACUAACCAAGGAAGAAUCAGUGAUCAUACACAUGGAGAGACAGACGGCAACCAGUUGGUGUUGCUGAUGAACCCCGAAGUGGAACAAGCGAAACGUGAUGAUAAGAGCCCGAGUGUGAGUCCACAAUGGAGAGUGCACAUGACGGGCCUGCCUGAGUAAAAAUAACACAAGUCAUGACCCUUCACUUCCUGUGCUGUGCGCUCACUUCAUUUGGGAACAACAACAACCACCCCAGGAGAUUUCUAGUUUUUUUUUUUUUUUUUUGUGUUUUAUUUAUAAAUUCCCUCCAGGAAUGUGGCAAACCAAAAAACAUCCCAAUUCAUGUUCCACUGGGAAUGAAAAAGUUGCUUGAGCCACGGAUCUGCUUGGUGUGAAGGUUUAGUUUGUGACUAAACCGGGAUGCCGGGGGAAGUUGAUGAGCAUGAGGACGGUAUGGCGUUGAAUAAGGAGGUGUGGUUUUGUGGAAGAAAAGAGCGUGGGCGAUACAUAAUCGGGAUGAGGGAGAUGAAGGGGGUCAAAAUGCUAAAAGAAGUAUGCAAAGAAAUAGUUUGGAUGGGAAUUGGGUGGUAGUGAGAAGGAAGAUGGGUAGGGAGGAAGUUAAGGUAGUACUUACAUUUAAGAAGGAAGACAAAGGCAUAAAAUGUAACCCUGUGGCAUUGAGUAAGAAAAUACAAAUGAAAAUAGGAGAAGUGGAUACAGUGAAUUUACUAAGGAAUGGAAAUUGGUUGUAAAUAUUGAAAAAAGUGUUGACUUUGGUGUAUAUUGGGAGAAAAAUGAUAAGUGAAAAGAAGGUACUGGGGGAAAGAGGUACAAGGAGUGAUUACGGGAUUAGGGUGAAAGAUAUGGUACGGGAAAUUCAAGAAAUAUUGUAUAGAAUACAAAUGAUGGGCUUGAUAGUUGUUUUGCGUUGUGUCCCAGCUCUUGUUGGUAUCGAGGGAAACCAGAACAUGGAGACAAUAGUGAAGUGGGCAACAGUGUAGUCUAACAAAACGUAGGUAUUGGGGUAAGUAAAAUGGAAGUGAAAUGGAUAGUUAAACAGAUAUAGAUGAAGAGAUGUCAAACGCAGUGGAGUACUGAAAGUAAAGGAAGAUGGUUUUACAGAAUUAAGAGCAGUGUGGGAGGAAAGAGAUGGAAGGAAGGUGAGAAAAUGCAAGAAGUACCUGUAGUAACAUAUGGCAUACUCCUUACCAGUAGGUGGCGGUAAUGCGUCUGAACGUUUCUUUCCAACUGCCAUAACAUUUCUUAAGAAGAAGAAGAAGAAGAAGAAGAAGAAGAAGGAAGAGAAGGACUCUUCGUUGCUACCAUUAGGGUUAGCAACAGUUGCUGACGCAGAGCGCUGCGUAGAAUAUUGUCUUGCUGUUUUAGACUAUUUAUUAGGAAUGAAUUACUUUGCUGUGUCGCUGACGCGAUAGUCGUCGUCGUGUGUUCAUUCCUGAGCCCAUCAACGACCACCCCGGAACUCCACAAAGGUCAGUUGGGACACCACCUUCUGAGUCGCGAGAGACGCCUAGAUUGUUCUCCACUUUUCCACGUCGGCGGCCGCUAAAAUAAGGUGGCGGAAGGUGAACCAGAGUUGCCACAAACAUCCGCCUACUUGAGAGUCCUCAGCAGAAAGUGGAAAACACCAAGAUGGACAAGGCCAAGGAAGGUGGUCUCCAGAACCAACAAAGCAGUCCAGCUGGAGAAGUGCGGGUCACAGUGGUAUCACCUGAAGAUGGUCAGACCGGCACGCGGCAGUACAAAAACCUUCAAUUAAGUAUAAUGGUGAUCGCGUGCCUUAUGUUGGCUAUUUCAGUAAUACAAACGGCGACGAAAGUGGACAGACACACAAGGGGGGUUGCUAGACACACUUCUGAAUGUGGGUUACCCCACCAACUAACAAUACAUCAUGUUAAUGGGACAAACAAGGCGUACAUAUUUGAUUUGUGUGACGUGAUUGAGUGUGGAGGAUAUAACAGUUCUUAUCGGGAAAAGGAUGUUUACCUGUGUUUUGAUCAGACUCUACAGAACCUGUGUUCAACUCAAAAGAGUUACACUGGGCCGUGGUGUCAGACGUGGGGACAAGUGACCCAUUACACUGGGUUAUGGGUCCCGAGCAAACAGGUGAAUCGUGGUCUGCUAGCACAGAAAAAUCAUAAUGAGAUUAUGGAUCGGAUAAGUUUUGAGCGCAUUUACAGUCUGUCUCAAAACCCGGUGAUGUUAAGUGUCAUGCAAGAAGCUAUAGGGGGAUCCAAGUCAACAUUUGUCAUCGUGGGGGUGGAUGUAGCGGGGAGGGAUCCCCUGGGAGUGGUUCAAAUUAUCGUAUAAACAAAUACCCCCCACUUAUCCACAGGGAAACAGUAAUAAGGCCACCGUCAGCGAGAGAAGCUAUGAGUGUAUGCGAAAGAAUCCACUCCAUAGAAUUGUACCACCCUAGUGUCGGUGUUUUCUCCAGUGGACAAUCAAACAACUCUAGCAGUGAGUGCAGUGAUUUGAAAAAUAACUGCAUUUGUUUCAGCUUUACCAUGGACGUGGGCGCGGGACGCAUCCUGGUGUGCCUCCUUUUGGGAAUGCCUCACAGAUCGGGCCCUGUGCCGGAUCUGGUUCGUUUUAGUAUUGCAGAGAGCGCUGCAUCUUGGCGCAAAUGGACUAGGGCACGAAAGGGAGGUGCACCAUUGUCCGUCUCGCAGCUCAGUCCCUUGCUCGGUCAUCAAAAUAGUCGAAUGCAACAAACCACACCCGCCAUAUUAAAUACUCGGCGACGCAGAAACAUUUUGGCAAAAAUAUCUUCUGGAAGUACCAGUGGACGUAUAUUUGACCCUAUGGUGAAUUCACCCACAUACAUGGAUAGAUGCCAUCGGUCUACACAGGAGGGUUCCAAAUGAAUUCAAAUUGGUGGACCAUGGUAGUGCACGUUUUGAGAACAUACCGAUCAUUUCAGCAUUGUAGACCGCAUCAAUCCCGUUUGUUCCAAAGCGCAAAGGUUGGCUAAUUUAACUACAAACGCCGUUGAGGGAACUAGGCCCAUCUUCCUUAAUGGCGAUCCAAAGGAGAAAGCCGCUAGAUAUGCUGCUGGCUAAGGAGAAUGGAGUCUGCUCCAUGUUUGGGGAACUUGUGUUGUCCAUACAUUCCUAAGAACUCUGCCCCUGAUGCCUCCAAGGACUGAGAUCCCUCGCGGUCGAAUUCAAAGAAGCCUCUGUCAUCAAUAACCCGAUUGAAGAUUGGUUUCACAACAUGUUUGGAAGGUGGAAGGGACUCAUAAUGUCUGUCUCAGCUUCCCUUCGAGCUUUCUCGGCAAUUUUAAUCACUUGCGGGUGUUGCUGCAUUCCUACGUGCUGUUCUCUUUGCACCAAGUAUGUAACUACCAUAGAAGGGGCCAGCAAAGAGGAUCCCCAACCCAUGAUGCCUUUGAUAUUCACAAUAUACUUGCUUUAGUAUUCCGUUUUGCCUUUUGUAAUCCGAGUUAUUUCAGGUCAAAGUUUCAAAAAUAUGACUGCAAAUGUGUUUCUGAGAACAAAAGAGGGACUGUUUGUGGUGGGUGUGUAUGAGAAGUGAAAGAAAGUGCAGAUGCUGUGCCAGGAACAGACGAGUGGAGGUGAAACCACAGGGCUGACUGAAAACACACACACACACACACACACACACACACACACACACGCACGCCCACGCCCUCUUUGGAGAAUUGUAUUAAAGGCUGGGUCAAAGAAAAGGUGUCUUCGUCAUUCUGCUUCGCUACCUUUGCGGUUAGUAACAGCUGCUGACCCAGAGCUCUGCCUAGAAUAUUGGCUUGCUGUAUUAGAUUAUUUGUUAGGAAUAAACACUUUGCUGCGUCGUUGAUGC